rnacentral:rRNA from 1 species
CAGCCGCCACGGUAAUACGUAGGGUGCGAGCGUUAAUCGGAAUUACUGGGCGUAAAGCGUGCGCAGGCGGUUUUGUAAGACAGGCGUGAAAUCCCCGGGCUCAACCUGGGAAUGGCGCUUGUGACUGCAAAGCUAGAGUGCGGCAGAGGGGGAUGGAAUUCCGCGUGUAGCAGUGAAAUGCGUGGAUAUGCGGAGGAACACCGAUGGCGAAGGCAAUCCCCUGGGCCUGCACUAACGCUCAUGCACGAAAGCGUGGGGAGCAAACAGGAUUAGAUACCCCAGUAGUCCCUGUCUCUUAUAC